AUGAAUGAAAAAAGCCCAAAAUAUUUUUUUUAGUGUAUAUAGAUUUAACCAUCUAGAACAUACAAUUAAACCGCCUUUAUUUAUAAAACCGUCUUUUAUAAUUUGUGAUUCAUGAUCUGCACCGUCGAUUGCGUUAUACUAAAACAAUUAACAACCGUAGGAUCUAUUCGAAAUCCUAAUCCGAUUCGGUUUUGGGUUUUGCUCCCCCUCUGUAUAUAUAUAUAUAUAUUAUAUAUAUGAAAAAAUGUGAUCGAUGAUUGUUCAUAGCUUCUGUAUCCUUUUUUUUGUUUUGCAUGUCGAUGAUUCUUAUUGCUUUCUUUGAUUAUGUUUCUAAUCUCUUUAUCAUCUAUUUAGGGUUUUGCUCGAUUUAUUAACAUCAGUUUAAUUCUCGUUGAUCUCUAAUGGUCAACCCUACUUGUUGAUCUUUUGCGUCGAUUUGCGAUGGAUGGAUCGAUCGAGAGAUUUGCAUGGGACAAACAUGUCCUGAUCAGUUCCCGUUGAUCCAAUCAUCAACUCUCAUCGAUGCUUAUCAUCGACCCUCAUCGAUACUUAUCAACGACCCUCGUUGAUCCAAUCAUCAACCCUCGUUGAUUCUAACCGUCAACCCUCGUUGAUUCUAACACCAUCAACCCUCGUUGAUCCAAUCAGCAACCCUUGUUGAUAUAUAUAAUCAAGGCUCGUUGAUCCAAUCAUCAUUCAUCAACCGUUGUGGGUAUAUCUAAUCAACGCUCUGUGUAUAUCUUCUAAUGAAAGAAGGAAAGAUCUUGUAGAUGUCUCUGUUAUUUUCAUGAGUAACGCCUUAUCGCUUAUUCGGGAUGGAUUGUUGAGUUUUCAGGCCUGUCCAUCGAGGUAUAACGCAUUCAUAUAGAGGCGCAUGGACAAAAACACAUAUGAUCAUCUCUCGAUGGUCUUAUGAUCAACUCUCGUUGUUCUUAUGAUCAUCUCUCGAUGGUCUUAUGAUCAACUCUCGUUGGUCUCUUUAUCAUCUCUCGAUGGUCUUAUGAUCAACUCUCGUUGGUCUCUUUCUCAUCUCUCGAUGAUCUUCCAAUCAACUCUCGUUGGUUAUGAUCAGCUCUCGUUGGUCUUAUGAUCAACUCUCGUUGGUCUUUUUAUCAUCUCUCGAUGAUAUUACAAUCAACGUCUCUCGUUGGUCUUUCAGUCAACUCUCGUUAGUCUUAUGAUCAUCUCUCGAUGGUCUUAUGAUCAACUCUCGUUGGUCUUUUUAUCAUCUCUCGAUGAUCUUCCAAUCAACUCUCGUUGGUUAUGAUCAGCUCUCGUUGGUCUUGUGAUCAACUCUCGUUGGUCUUUUUAUCAUCUCUCGAUGAUCUUCCAAUCAACGUCUCUCGUUGGUCUUUCAGUCAACUCUCGUUGGUCUUUCAAUCAACUCUCGUUGGUGUUAUGAUCAUCUCUCGAUGAUCUUCCAAUCAACGUAUCUCGUUGGUCUUAUGGUCAACUCUCGUUGGUCUUCCAAUCAUCUCUCGAUGAUCUUCCAAUCAACGUCUCUCUCGUUGGUAUUAUGAUCAGUUCUCGUUGGUCUCAUCAUAUCAUCUUUUGAUGAUCCUCCAAUCAACCCUCGUUGAUCUUGUUAUCAUCUCUCGAUGAUCAUCCCAUCAAUCUCUCGUUGAUCAGAUCAUAUAUAUCAUCUCUCUCGAUGAUCUGAUUAUCAACUCUCGUUGAUGUAAGUGUCAUCUCUAGAUGAUAUGAUAUCAUAUCAUCAACUCUCUUUGAUCCUAAUCAACCCUCGUUGACAAAGAAAGGAUUAGACUUAACACAGCUUCCAGAGGUUUAUGUUUGGUCUUUCAAACUGACCAGAAACAGAUGUACAAGAGAGUAAGGAGGGGAUGUAUCUGACCUUUGCCAUGACAGGUGCGCUUGCUUGGCAGGUCAUAAACCCUUCAUAAAAAAGAUGACAGUUUUUGGUUUCGUGGAAGGAUGGGAGAUGGUACGGAAUUGGUUAAGUUUUGUUCUUGGCCCAGCGCUCCUCCUUCCCUCCGGACUGUGUGUCUUGUUACUCUCUGAUACUUGCUGUUUCAUAUGCAUCUUGAUAAACCUGAAGAGUUGUAAAGAGAGACCAUCUAAAGUGAGCAAGCCCCUGUCCGUUAUAUAAUACUUUGGCUUACAAACGAGAAAGUAGCAAACGGAAUCCAUCAGCUCAAAUGUGAAAGAUCAAUCUGCAAAAGCGAGUAGGAAUGUUUUAAGGUUGGCUAUGGAUCCUUUUCUGUUCUAGAUAAAUUGUAUUCUUUUGCUUUUCUGAAUUCUCUUUAACAACUGAAGAAGAAGAAAACUGUGUAGACUUGUUGUUGGCCUAGGUUUUGGAAAAAAAUGAUUCGUGUAUUGAAAAAACCAUGGAGAGCUUAUGAACACCGGAGGAAUGUUAAGGUAAGGAUUUGCAUAAGUAGAAUAUGUAUUGGCAAGAGUUAGUUCGGACUUUUUUGUUGCGAAGGCAGAGAAGCAAAGUUUGUGAAAGUGGAAGAUAAUUUUUCUUUUUAUCUUGUAUUCUUGUGGAUGAUGAGAAGUGAGUCUGACACUCUAUAUAAUCAAUAAGUACAACAUGUAUUUCAUGGUUAAGAGUUAUAAGAAUUCUUACUCUGGUUCU